AAUGAGAAGUUAUUGUCAGCUAUGGAGACGUUGAAGCAUGGGGAAGCAGUGGAUAUUCCAAAAUAUAAUUUCAGGAGUUAUAAGAACAACGUCUCUCGAAGGGGAACACGGGCAAGGUUUUACACCUCAUGUUAUUUCUGUGACUGCCGGAGAGCUUUAUGAUCUUGCUAGAAACGGUGUUCCUCUGAGAUGAUAUUCCUCCUUCGCUCUGCACAAAAUAUCGCUGUGAACAUGAAUUCACAUGUGAAUGGUCCAUCUCUAUGGUUGAUCAUCCUGAAGAUCUAAUCAUUCUCUAGUGACUUUUCUGAAACAGGUGGUUGAUGGCCAAAGUCUUGUUUUAGCAUUGCUGCUGACAUGCUGACACAAAAAAUUGAGGAACAUGUGUCGAUACCUAUACUUUGUACCUUGUUUGCAUCAAGUAGCCGUGGUUAACCGAUAUAUAAACUCGUUUAGUUUCUUGUCUGAAUACCUUUUCCGUUUGUAAAUAUUUUCCUU